rnacentral:rRNA from 1 species
UGCAGUCGAACGAUGAAAUGGAGCUUGCUCCAUGGAUUAGUGGCGAACGGGUGAGUAACACGUGAAUAACCUGCCCUUAAUUUUGGAAUAACCCAGGGAAACCUGGGCUAAUACCGGAUAAGUAAACCUGUGGCAUCACAUGGUUUUGGAAAGUUUUUCGAUUAAGGAUGGAUUCGCGGCCUAUCAGCUUGUUGGUGAGGUAAUGGCUCACCAAGGCGACGACGGGUAGCCGGCCUGAGAGGGUGAACGGCCACACUGGGACUGAGACACGGCCCAGACUCCUACGGGAGGCAGCAGUGGGGAAUAUUGCGCAAUGGACGAAAGUCUGACGCAGCGACGCCUCGUGAGGGACGAAGGUCUUCGGAUUGUAAACCUCUUUCAGCGGGGACGAAGCGAAAGUGACGGUACCUGCAGAAGAAGCACCGGCUAACUAUGUGCCAGCAGCCGCGGUAAUACAUAGGGUGCAAGCGUUGUCCGGAUUUAUUGGGCGUAAAGAGUUCGUAGGCGGUUUCUCGCGUCGGAUGUGAAAACUCAGGGCUCAACCCUGAGCCUGCAUUCGAUACGGGGAAACUUGAGGACGGCAGGGGAGACUGGAACUCCUGGUGUAGCGGUGGAAUGCGCAGAUAUCAGGAAGAACACCAAUGGCGAAGGCAGGUCUCUG